GCCUAGCCCAGGUUGAAACGGCAUCCUUUUCUUGCUUUCUUUAAGCAAGGAAAGAUAAAGUGUAAAGCUGGAAAAUGC
rnacentral:sRNA from 1 species